rnacentral:rRNA from 1 species
CAAUAGCGUAUAUUUAAGUUGCUGCAGUUAAAAAGCUCGUAGUUGGAUUUCGGGUGGGAAUGUCCGGUCCGCCGUUUCGGUGUGCACUUGCUACGCCCACCUUGCUGCCGGGGACGUGCUCUUGAGUUCACGCUCGGGACACGGAGUCGGCGAGGUUACUUUGAGUAAAUUAGAGUGUUCAAAGCAGGCCUACGCUCUGAAUACAUUAGCAUGGAAUAACACGAUAGGACUCUGGCCUAUCUUGUUGGUCUGUAGGACCGGAGUAAUGAUUAAGAGGGACAGUCGGGGGCAUUCGUAUUUCAUUGUCAGAGGUGAAAUUCUUGGAUUUAUGAAAGACGAACUACUGCGAAAGCAUUUGCCAAGGAUGUUUUCAUUAA